rnacentral:rRNA from 1 species
AUUGAACGCUGGCGGCAUGCCUUACACAUGCAAGUCGAACGGUAACAGGUCUUCGGAUGCUGACGAGUGGCGAACGGGUGAGUAAUACAUCGGAACGUGCCCGAUCGUGGGGGAUAACGGAGCGAAAGCUUUGCUAAUACCGCAUACGAUCUACGGAUGAAAGCAGGGGACCGCAAGGCCUUGCGCGGACGGAGCGGCCGAUGGCAGAUUAGGUAGUUGGUGGGAUAAAAGCUUACCAAGCCGACGAUCUGUAGCUGGUCUGAGAGGACGACCAGCCACACUGGGACUGAGACACGGCCCAGACUCCUACGGGAGGCAGCAGUGGGGAAUUUUGGACAAUGGGCGCAAGCCUGAUCCAGCCAUGCCGCGUGCAGGAUGAAGGCCUUCGGGUUGUAAACUGCUUUUGUACGGAACGAAACGGCUCUUUCUAAUAAAGAGGG